rnacentral:tRNA from 1 species
GGAUUGUGGCUCAGUGGUAGGGUGCUUGCUUAGCACAUGUGAGGCCCUGGGUUGGAUUCUCAGCACCA